UACGGAGGGUGCAAGCGUUAUCCGGAUUCACUGGGUUUAAAGGGUGCGUAGGCGGAUAGGUAAGUCCGUGGUGAAAUCCUGCAGCUUAACUGCAGAACUGUCAUGGAUACUAUUUAUCUUGAAUGUCGUGGAGGUUAGCAGAAUAUGUCAUGUAGCGGUGAAAUGCUUAGAUAUGACAUAGAAUACCCAUUGCGAAGGCAGCUAACUACGCGAUAAUUGACGCUGAUGCACGAAAGCGUGGGGAUCAAACAGG
rnacentral:rRNA from 1 species